rnacentral:piRNA from 1 species
UAAAAGGUGAUCAGUGGAAACUUUCCUCU